CAACCCUUUAACCCUAAAUUACCGCCGUUCAGCCUCGCGAUCUCAAACCCCUGCCGUCGAAAUCGCGACCGUAAUCAAAAACCCACGUCACCACCAACUCGCGCGAUUUCUUCUCCACAGCAUCGCAAGAGCCUUUUUAACCGCUUUUGAUUGAAGUUUGUUUUCUCGACUCGCUUCGCCGGCAACAACCGCGGACUCGUUUUGUCACUACCUUCAAACAACAUCGCCGCUAAUAGCCAACAACAACAUAGUCUGCUGUUCAGUUGUAAACAAGGGUUUCUUGAGUUCCGCCUUCAAACCGAUCCACUUUCGGUUCAAAUUCCGUCACACCUCAAAAGCAGCUGUUAUUUACAUUGGUUGGAUUUUCAACUUGAAUCAAUUUUGUUGAGGUUAAAUUUGUGUGUAUGAGUGAGUAUAUGUUGCCCGGUGCUAUAGAUUUUGAGAGGUGAAUUCCGGUGUUUAUUUCGGUUCGUCAUGUGCUGUAGCAUUCUUCUUGGAUGUAAAUGCUGUAAAAUAAUUCUGCAGAUUGAUUAAGUUAUGCCAUUGCUUUUCGGUUGUGUCAAUUCUAUAAUUUCUAUAACAUGUUGAUUUAAGUUUGUGUAAAUAUUGUACUGUCCAUCCUCUUAAUUGCAUUUUCAAUUGUCAACGUUGCUUUGUAAUUGAGACUGAUGUAAUAACUUUGGAAAUCAUGUGGUGAUUAUUUGGCAUUCA